UUGAAAUUGUCGAUCUGUGAACAUUGUGAGGAAAGGAAAGCAAAACAAUGGGAGAAACACGUGGAGAGUAUACAAUCUAUUUUGUGGACAACUUGUUAAAGGCUCCUAGAGUAUUCUUAUGGGGUAUGCGACGUGUAUAACACUGGAAGAAGCAGUCCUACCAAACUUGAAAAGCCACGAGGUCGAGUGGUAAUGGCGCGCCCGUGCCGAUGAACUUGCACGUUGUUUUCACAAUCGGUUUUCCCAACUGCCGACUAUUCCUUGUCAGAUAAUCCUAAAAAUCCGGGAGAUAUAGCAUAGCCUAUCUAACUUUGAAGUUUGAGGAAGCAGACUGACUUUGAAGACGACAAUGAUGUUGAUAGAAUAAUACCAGGAUGCAGCAUUGCAGAAAGUAAUGACGGUAUCUGACAUGUCUUAUGCCAAUCAAUUCCUCCAGAAGAUGACACAAACUUUAAAUUAUGGAAGUUGCGAGCAAGAAUUUUUCAAGGGAAUGUCAGAUGGAGAAGAAACAUCAGUCAACAAGACAGUACUAGUGUAAAAUGAUAAAGUAUCUGUAAUAGGUGCUUACCAUAUUCUGCCUAUUGUGGAUUCAGUGAUGGUUUUUCAAACGAACUAUGCUCAUCAACCAAAUGUCCUUAAAAUUUGUGGAGUGCAGAGCCACUUUCAGGCGAGACAGUAGUGUGGUUCAUUUUAGUGGACAUGAUUUUAGACGAGAUGUGCUUUGUGAAACUUGAAACAUUGUUCAUUCAUCAUAGUGUAAUGAGAACUGUUGUGGUCCAUCAUUCUAUGCUUUAGUGAAGUAAUGGAUAUAAUGUGAAGUACAUGUGUAAAUGCUCAUAUUCUGCACAACAUAUUUUUCAGUGACAUUAUUUCUUUGAGACCAAGCUCUGGACAGUUGAUAGCCAUUUAUGUGUAGGACUUUAUUUAUUUUUCUGUGUGUGCAAUAGCAACUGUCACUUGCAGUAAACCCAAACAAAGUGGAGAAAUAAUUUGUUGAGUUCAGAGAUUACAAUUUUUAUUGUGUUAUUUUGAUGAGAAGAUAGUAUUAAUAAGGUACAAUGGUACAUUGUAUCUUAUUGAAAAGCUUAUUUAAGAGUUAUCAGUAGAAUUAGACUGCAUGACAAUUAUUAGAAUGGGAAACCUAGAUGAAGUCAAAAGAAACUAUACUGUAUUUUACAGACUGUCCUGGAAAUAUCAUGCAAUAAAUAAUGUCUCCAGUGUUA